rnacentral:rRNA from 1 species
AUUGAACGCUGGCGGCUUGCCUUACACAUGCAAGUCGAACGGCAGCACGGGUGCUUGCACCUGGUGGCGAGUGGCGAACGGGUGAGUAAUACAUCGGAACGUACCUUAUCGUGGGGGAUAACGCAGCGAAAGCUGUGCUAAUACCGCAUACGCCCUGAGGGGGAAAGCGGGGGAUCGCAAGACCUCGCGCGAUUAGAGCGGCCGAUGCCUGAUUAGCUUGUUGGUGGGGUAAAAGCCCACCAAGGCGACGAUCAGUAGCUGGUCUGAGAGGACGAUCAGCCACACUGGGACUGAGACACGGCCCAGACUCCUACGGGAGGCAGCAGUGGGGAAUUUUGGACAAUGGGGGCAACCCUGAUCCAGCAAUGCCGCGUGAGUGAAGAGGGCCUUCGGGUUGUAAAGCUCUUUCGUCAGGGAAGAAACACCGGCUCUAACACAGUCCGGGAAUGACGGUACCUGAAGAAUAAGCACCGGCUAACUACGUGCCAGCCGCCGCCGUAA